rnacentral:rRNA from 1 species
ACGUAGGGGGCCAGCGUUGUCCGGACUUACUGGGCGUAAAGCGCGCGCAGGCGGACCUGUAUGUGCCGUGUGAAAGCGCCGGACUUACUUCGGCGAGGUCAUGGUAGACAGCAGGUCUGGAGCCUCGGAGAGGUCGGUGGAAUUCCGGGUGGAGCGGUGAAAUGCGUAGAUAUCGGAAGGAACACCGGUGGCGAAGGCGGCACGCUGGGCCCGACCUGACGCUGAGGCGCGAAAGCCAGGGGGGCGAACGGGA